GAUGAACGCUGGCGGCGUGCCUAAUACAUGCAAGUCGAGCGAACAGACGAGGAGCUUGCUCCUCUGACGUUAGCGGCGGACGGGUGAGUAACACGUGGAUAACCUACCUAUAAGACUGGGAUAACUUCGGGAAACCGGAGCUAAUACCGGAUAAUAUAUUGAACCGCAUGGUUCAAUAGUGAAAGACAGUUUUGCUGUCACUUAUAGAUGGAUCCGCGCCGCAUUAGCUAGUUGGUAAGGUAACGGCUUACCAAGGCGACGAUGCGUAGCCGACCUGAGAGGGUGAUCGGCCACACUGGAACUGAGACACGGUCCAGACUCCUACGGGAGGCAGCAGUAGGGAAUCUUCCGCAAUGGGCGAAAGCCUGACGGAGCAACGCCGCGUGAGUGAUGAAGGUCUUCGGAUCGUAAAACUCUGUUAUUAGGGAAGAACAAAUGGGUAAGUAACUAUGCACGUCUUGACGGUACCUAAUCAGAAAGCCACGGCUAACUACGUG
rnacentral:rRNA from 1 species